rnacentral:rRNA from 1 species
UUGAUCCUGGCUCAGAAUCAACGCUGGCGGCGUGCCUAACACAUGCAAGUCGAACGGGAAAGUGGAGCAAUCCAUGAGUAUAGUGGCGACCGGGUGAGUUACACGUGACUAACCUACCUUCAAGUGGGGGAUAACCUCGGGAAACCGGGUCUAAUACCGCAUAACAUCUCUGUUAUGAGAAAGCAGAGAUCAAAGGAGCUAUUCGCUGGAAGAGGGGGUCGCGGCUGAUUAGCUAGUUGGUGGGGUAACUGCCCACCAAGGCUUUGAUCGGUAGCCGGCCUGAGAGGGCGCACGGCCACUCUGGAACUGAAACACGGUCCAGACUCCUACGGGAGGCAGCAGUGGGGAAUUUUGCGCAAUGGGGGAAACCCUGACGCAGCAACGCCGCGUGGAGGAUGAUGUCCCUUGGGACGUAAACUCCUUUCGACCGGGAAGAUUAUGACGGUACCUGUGGAAGAAGCCCCGGCUAACUUCGUGCCAGCAGCCGCGGUAAUAAGGU